UACGGAGGAUCCAAGCGUUAUCCGGAUUUAUUGGGUUUAAAGGGUGCGUAGGCGGAAUUGUAAGUCAGUGGUGAAAGCCCUUCGCUUAACGAAGGAACUGCCAUUGAUACUGCAAAUCUUGAGUACAUUUGAUGAGGGCGGAAUGUGUCAUGUAGCGGUGAAAUGCUUAGGUAUGACACAGAACACCGAUUGCGAAGGCAGCUCUCAAAACUGUAACUGACGCUGAGGCACGAAAGCGUGGGUAUCAAACAGG
rnacentral:rRNA from 1 species